GCUAUUCACACGUCAAUCACUUCAGCUGGGCCAAUGAGGGCAGCAGUACCCUCACCAGAAAUAGAAGGUGGGACCACCAGGCCAGUAUGUUGGAGCAGUUGUUUCCACCAGCGUUGGGACUUAUGAGGCUUGGGCAGGAGGACAGGAAUAGUACAAUCAGAUUCGGGAUAUCUGGCCUCCUGUUGAGGUCCUUAAAUCAUUUGAAGUUUAGUUUGUGCAGCUGAUAAGCAUGGAUCUAUCUGGAUUCUUCUACACACAGCCAUCCAGUUUCACCAGCACAAUUUGUUGAAAAUUUUUUUUGUUCAGUGUGUAUUUCUGACUUCUUUGUCAAAAAUCAAGUGUCUAUAUGUGUGUGGA